CUUGCCUGACCUCAGUCUACUGUGUUGCAUUAGAGCAGUUGCAACAAAAAGCUGCAAUUGCCUUCAGCUUCCUGGAAACCAAAACUGCUCUGAGCUUGCCUCAAAGAAUGCUACUCAUACCUUGGAGGCAGUUGACUUGUACUUGGCCAGGGACUCCUAGAAUGCUCUCUUUGCUUCUGUCUCAAGAAACUCAGUCAAACCAACUUUCCCUAGGCUGAGGAAUAAGGCGGGGAGGCUUUUCUUUGUACAUGGAAGGAGUAAGGGGCUGUUUUCACUUGACCCAAAACUGAGACUGGCUCUGGCAAUUCCAGCCCCACAUCUUUCUAAGGUAGGAGCAGCAGCAGUCAUUCAUGUUGAAGGGUCAUUUGAAAGCCAUUCUUCUUUACAAAACCACAGAAUGGUGGUUUUGUUUUAGUGCUUUGACUUUAGUAUCAAUCAGCUUAUUUUCCUGGAAUUACUUAAUAUGAGAAAUGUAAACAUUUUCUAGCAACAUAUUCUAACACUUGUUAGAAUGAUUUGUUAGAAUGAUUUAACAAUCAUUUUAGGGGUGGGCAGGGUUAAUGAAAGAAAUGAGACCUUGAGGCAUCCAGACGCUGGCAACACUGGACAGCCGUUACCAUGCAUCAGGCUGAAGGAGCAAAGGGAGAAAUGAAUCAAUCCCAGCGACACUGGGAGCCAUGAAUGGGCACUGCUGAGAGGGAGCUAUAGUCCUGGAGAGAAGCUGCUAUGGCCAGAGAUGUGGCCCCAAAGCAAGAAGGGAAGAGGGAGAAAAUUCUCUAGAUUUUUUUCUCUUCCACCUCUCCCAUCACCUGAAGUGCCUCUUACUGGCCCCAGACCCUCCCCAGAGUCAGCCAGCAAGGGAACCCCGGUGAUGCCGCUCACAGCAGUCAGCUUCCAGGAAAAAUGACCAGGAGAGGGGAAGCAAAGAAUAACCACUAGGCCUACCCAAUCCCACACUGCCUUAUAAUAAAGCAUUAGUUGACAGGAGCCUUGAAAAUACAUUGAAGGGAACAUUUUCCAAGAAAACUUCCAGAGGCAGAGCCAGGAAGAGAAAGAAGCUCCAAGCUCAGGGCUCAGUGAAGUGAACACAAAAACACCAAUUUCAAAAUAGAGUGGAAAGACAGCAAUUGAACUGUUAUCAUAACUGCAUGCUGGCACUAGCUGCAGUGCAUUCUGCAAAUGUCUUCAAGUCAGUGAAGCAUCAGGGGUGAGGUAAUAACAGACACUCAGAGUUGGCCUCAGCUUCCUGCAGGUUCGAAUUAAGAUCCCAGGGAAUUGGCUUAACCAAAAGAUCAAGUCAAACACUGCAUUUCAAUUUUCACAAUUUGUUGGUUCCCAAAUUCCAUGACUGGAAAACAAAAGACUCAUCCCACUUGACUGGCAGCUUGGCUUUGAGCUAUAGUUCUCGAUCGCUUUGCUCCUGGGAACUGAGUGGUCCCCCUUAACACACCUCAUUCCCCAGGCAAAAUUGCCAGAGCCAGACCCUCUUUUUCUGCCCCUAAACUCAUUCACACACACACACACACACACUCUCUCUCUCUCACCCCUCUUCCCACAUGUUUGGUCUACUUUGGUCUGCCUCCUGCCCAAAAGUCAAAAUUAGAAUCUAGCAAGAGAACCAUUAUGCUGAGAAAAUGCAGAAAGCAUUUAGAACCCCUGUGCUUUGCAAGGCACCAGAACAGGGAUACGAAAGGGGGAAAAAAGACAAAGAGGAGAGAGAAAGAUGGGGAAAAGUGAAGAGAAGAAGGAAGAGAGGAAGGAAAAGAAGAAACAGGACAUGGAGUGGAAGAGAAGAGAGAGUGGGUAAGAAAGGGGGAAAGAAAAAAGAGGCAGCCAGCAAGAAGCAAAGUAUAAUUUUCAUCAACAUUCAUUCAUUCAUUUGACAAACAUUGAUUGAAUGUUUAGGAGGGACCAAGAA